rnacentral:rRNA from 1 species
CAGCACCUCAAGUGGUCGGGAUGAUUAUUGGGCCUAAAGCAUCCGUAGCCGGCGCUGUAAGUUUUCGGUUAAAUCUGUACGCUCAACGUACAGGCUGCCGGGAAUACUGCAGCGCUAGGGAGUGGGAGAGGUAGACGGUACUCGGUAGGAAGGGGUAAAAUCCUUUGAUCUAUUGAUGACCACCUGUGGCGAAGGCGGUCUACCAGAACACGUCCGACGGUGAGGGAUGAAAGCUGGGGGAGCAAACCGGAUUAGAUACCCGAGUAGUCC